rnacentral:lncRNA from 1 species
UAUUUCUAAAAUAUAUUUAGUAUGGAAUUCAAUCUUAAUAUCUCCAGUGAGAUGGCAAGAUAAUAUAUGAUUUAUGUUUUCAAAUACCCACAGUCAACUUGAAUUAUAAUCCUUGGUUACUGAAAUUAUGUGCAGGUAUAAUUAAUGGAAAUUUUAGUAAUUUUUGGAAGUCAGAUAUCCCAAAGGAACAAAAGUCUGAGGCUCUGAGUUUUCAUGCAGCUAGUUUUUUGGGGAGUUCUCUGAUGAGCAACACCAAUGAAGAGUGAAGAAAGCAGGAUUAAACACAGGAGAAACUGAACUGUAAUCAUGCAGUUCUAACAGAGGUCUCACAACUCUCAGCGGCAACAGUGGUUGGGAUGGCUAUUCAGAGAUUUCUCAAUUGUGGCAACAAUGUGGGGCUUUUUUUAACUCUCCCUGUCCCCAACAACUAAUUAUUAUAUGACAGCUUUCAUCAGGGAAUGGAGUUUAACUUUUGGGAUAGGAUGAUUUCCUUGGCUGAAAAAAUUGCUUGGAGACUGACUCAGCUGGGAGCAAUCAGCAACCAACAGUCUCGAACCUGGGGAAAUGAGUGCCUUAGUCACAAAGGACAUCUGUGUCACAAAACACAGCAUCCACUACAGUUCACCCCAGCACUGCUCAGAUCUAUUUGUUCCAUAUAAUAAGUUCACUCCAAUUGGAAAAAGCUUCUCCAUGAUUCUUGUUAGUCUCUUUUUCUAGAAAUUAUAAAAGAGAAAAGGUAGUAAAACAAAUGGCAGUCCCUACUACAAUAGUUGGUCUCAGAUUAUCAUAGGUGCUCAUCAUCUUCCUCCUCUAGUACCCAUUUGAAAUUGCCCACAUCCUCAGUUAGUAACUGAACUGGUAUUACUGGUUUAUCAAGUCAGGUUAACACACUUUUAUCUGUGAGGGUUCUGAGCCUCUGGUUACCAUGUUCUUCUCACACUGCUGUGGCUGUUAUUGUCCAUGUAUUGUCAUGAUUGAGUGAGAGAGUAAUAAGAGACACUGCGGUUGUCAACUGUUUUCUACCUUGCCUUCAUUGUGUAACCACAGUCCUACCUCUUACCACUCCCAGUAUGAUAACUCUGCUUUUGACUGCUAGGGUAUGAUGUGACUUGACCUUAUUUAUUGGGUCUCAUGGUCAGGGUGAGAAAUAAAAUGCUCAGGAGAAAACAUGUUGUCUGGCAUUUAAAAGUUAGGAACCAAUAUUUUAAUUCUCCCCAUUAAAAUCAAUUAAUUCAGUGCAGUUACAAACAAGAGCCCUGAAGGGUUUUGCUUUUGUUUUUGAUGAAAUUUAACAAACUGAUCCAGAAAUUUAUGUAUAAGAACAAGGGGAAGGUCAAGUAAUUUGUAAGAUGAAAAUUUUCAAGGUGAAUAAUACAGGCUGGGUUCCUCCCUCUUAGAUAUUAAGACUUCCUGUAAUCCCAGCACUUUGGGAGGCAGAGGUGGGUGGAUCAUGAGGUCAGGAGAUCGAGACCAUCCUGGCUAAUAUGGUGAAACGCCAUCUCUACUAAAAAUACGAAAAAUCAGCUGGGCAUGGUGGCAAGCGCCUGUAGUCCCAGCUACUCAGGAGGCUGAGGCGGGAGAAUGGCAUGAACCCGGGAGGCGGAGCUUGCAGUGAGCCGAGAUCGCGUCACUACACUCCAGCCUGGGCGAUACAGCGAGACUCCGUCUCAAAAAAUAUAUAUAUAUAUUUUUCUGUAUUUUAAAAAUUAUUUUGUAGUGAAAAAGGGAAAAUGUACCUAAGGAAAACAAAAAUCAGAUGAUAAAUAAAGAUCAGAAGAGGGAAGAUCCAUCAUUGCUGUGAUUAUAUGAAAUCUGAAGCUGCAUUAUUAUAAAAAUAGAUAAAUCCAAUAAAAUACCUUCACAGCAUUUUCAGUCAUAGCAUAAUCUGUGGUAUUAUGUUUAGUUAUUAAUUCUAUAUUUUAAAAGAUAUUCUGAAAUUCUGAAGAUUAUGUAAACUCAAAUGACCAGUGAGUGAUAUGAAAAUCACACUUAAAACAGCAAUAGCUGAGAAAAAUGUGGACAUUUAGCUUGGACAAAAAAGGACUUUUCAGGAAUGGUUUGAGUCACGUAUUUUAAGGGUUGUCAUGUGGAAGAUGAUGUUUAUGUUCUUUAAGUCUCUAAAAUGUUGACUUAGAAAAAAGACGGAUGGGAAUUUGGACACAAUAGAUUUGAGCUCUAUAUUAGAAGAGUGGAGAGAAAAGGAUCUGGGAUUCAGAAUUGUACACACAAUGAAACAGUCUGCAUUACAAAGAGUAUUAGCUUUUCAUCACUGGAAGUGUUAGUUACAGAAGUUUGCAAAGAGCAUUCCUAUACGAUUGGAGACUGCCACAACCUGAAUAGCAACUAAGGUUUUUUUCUAGCUGAGGACUCUAUUAUUUAUAUACUAGGACUCAAUUAUUCAUAUUAAAUUGAAGUAAAAAAUAAAUACUGUUUUCCAAGUCUCACAGUAUCUCUUUGAAAGAGGAAAUCUGGGUAAUCUACUUGCCUUCAGGGCACCAAUUCUUAAUAGCAUUUCCAAAUAUUCCAGCAGGGGCAGCAGGCAUCUUUAAAUGCCAGAGAUUCUUGGGACCCCAAGCAACCCUGGACACCCAUUGAUAAAAGCAAAUUCAAUACUUGAUCAAAGUCUUGGUCCUGGGCUGUUUGGUUUGAUAUGAGAUACAUGGCAACCCUUGUAAAACUUCAAAGCUAUUAAUUUAUCACAAACCUAUAAAUCAAAAAUUUAUAUAGAGAGAUUGUAAUGAAGGCCAUUUUUCUAAUUCUGCCAAUUACCUGAAACAAAGAGCCCAUUUCUCUGGGAAGCUCAGGUACAGUUUGAUGCUGCAGUCAGUCACCAAUGAUCUGUUUGUUUGCAGGUGGUGACUGCUGCCUUCACAUUUUCCUGUGAGGGGUUAGGAAAAGAUUUCCAAAAUGCUCUUUGCUUCACCACCAUUUUAAAAACAAUUACAGUGAGGGCGCCUGGGAUGGAGUUUCCAGGACACCAUUUCACGGAUCGUUGCUCCAGUCCACUUAUUUGUACAAGAGCAGUAUUCUUGUUUUCCAUCUCUCCUCACUGUGGGAUUCCAGCUUUUGUGCCAAAUAUGAACCAUUCUUGCUCUGAGCACCAGAAAUACCCAGGAUCUUCCAAUUUACUGUGGUUGCUGGCCUCUGCAAGAUAGUAAACCACACUUGAAUUGUUAAGAUCAUUAUACUGAAUAUCUUCUUCCUUUUUUAGUCCCGUUAAAAAAAAAAUGAGCGAGGGAGAAAGAAACACAGAAGGCAAAGAAUUGUAGAAUGCUUUUCAAAGCCAAUAACUUUUCACCAUGCUUCUGUAUUUCUGUUAGCAUGGAACCAACUUUCUUUCACAAUUACUUUGUUAUUGUCCUGUCUAAUAUGGUAGCCACUAACUAACAGGUAUGGUUAUUGAGUACAUGAAAUGUUGCUAUUGUGAUUGAAGAACUGAAUUUUUAAUUAAAUGAGAUGUGCUAAAAGUGUAAAAUACAGUGAAUCUCAAAAACUAAGAAAAAAUGUAAUACUUCUCAAAUAUUUAAAUAUAUAAAUAUAUUAAAAGUAUAUUCAGAUACAUUUUGAUAAACAAAAUAUAUUAUUAAAAUAAUCUCAUCUUUUUCUUUUUACUUUUUAGUGUGGCUAGUAGAAAAUUUAAAAUUACUUAUGUGUCUCAUUUUGAUUGGACAGUGCUGCCUAUAAAUUGAGUCUCUCUCUCUUGCUUUCUGUCUCUUUCCCUGGAUUUGUGAUAGUCCUGUAACUAAUUCUCUUAGUGGUUAAGAUGGUGGGAGAUCGGCAAUAGGACCAAGUGCAUAGUAUGCAGGCCUUAGUGCAGAAUGAAAAUGUGGAGCCCUUGAUAAAAAUUUAGAAUUUUAAUAAGGCUAUAGAGGAACAUUAAAACAAGUGUGGGGCUGUUAUAUAUGUGAAGCCCUAUGAGAUUGCACAGAUCUAACACCCAUAAAGUUGGAGCUGAUUGGUAACUGCCAAUUUGAGAACUACUGAGCCAGAACAUGAGAGUCACUAAGGGCUAUUACUCCAGGGACCUUCUAAAAAGAAAAUGAAAAGUUUGAAAUAUUUGUUACUUUACCUGUCAUUUCCCAGUUCUCAAUUUAGACCACAAAACUCAGAUUCAUCUCAAGUCAGCAAGUAAAACAGCAAUAAUAGAUGGCUAGAAAUAAAGCUUCAAAAAUUACUCUGAAACUCUUGAUAACAUUUAUGCUUUAAAAUUGCAAUUUUAAGUUUUCUUGCAGAUAUUUUAUUAUAUAGAGCAUCAGAGACUUGGUUGUCAGCUUAUAUUAAGUGCUUUUGAAUGGCAGAAUUCAAACAAGAAAAUAACUUUAAAAAGCCUGUCUAUACGAGGUAGUUAAGAAGAAGAUAAUAAUUAUCUGUAAUGCUGAGGAAGUAUUUGUUUAACACAAAUGAUAAAAGGGCUUGGGUUCUGAAAUCUGUAGACCAGCUAAGUUUACCUUAUAUUUGUGAAAAUGCAUUGGUGGUUGUGUUUUAAAUCAAAGAGACAACUGUUGCACAGUGUUGGUGACAAGGCAUCUUGUCUGAGCUUUACUACAGCAACAUAACAUCCAGGGCUUCCUUCAGUUUGAACUUUUACUGACUCUGUGAACUUAAAAGAAGUCAUAUUGUGCCCCUCUCUUAAGAUUAAUUUAUUCAGUGAUAAGGUGAGUGAUGGUAAGCCAGGUACCUAUCCAAUCACAGUAAAUACUAAGUUCCAGUACAAACUGAGCAACAGAUCAUAUUUCAGAGUGCUGGAGCUGGAGCACAGGAAUAUUGCUAUAGAGAGGGAAAAUUCCCAAAUGUAAAUCUUUGUGUGAUGUGACUAAAAAUAUGGGGAGAAUAUGUAUUAAAUAUAUGAAUAAAUUAAUAAAAUGAAAUUGAUUAAAGAAGAAUAAAGGCAGUUAUUUUUUCCAGAAACCCUACAUCUGGUGUGAUUAGACCGUAGUGAGUUCUUCAGAGCUCAAAGCUUCCACCUAUGAAUAUUUUCUUCAAUAAACAUUUUUUCCUUUGCCUCACUGGUUGCCAAUAGAAACAUCUGCCUGGAGGACUCAGUUUAGCCAAGUCUCUCUCGUUUUUUUUUUCUUUACAAGUCUUGAAAGAAUAUUUUGGCCUUCUUUCCUCUGAUUAGUUUCCAAAAUAGCAGUGGGAAUUUAAAUUAUAAUCAACUUUUAUCCAGUUCCUGCUAAAUUCAUCAAGAAAAGACUUAGAAUAUGAAUCAGGUACAAUUGUUGGGUUUCCUUGAACUUCACUAACCAUCCAUUCAUUCCUCAAGGAAGACAAAAGCUCAUUUCUCCAAAAAAUGAGUGUUGAAUUGAAUUCUAUUUUUUUGUCCAGAAUUUUUUUUCCUUUAUCAGUCUCACUUGUCUGGACUGUGCUUAACUAAAUAAAACAAUACAUCUUUACACCAAAUUCCACAAUGUGGUUUGCUAAAGUAUGUCUUUUCUUCCUCCACCACCCUGCCUCUUACUUAAACUUCAUUUACUUUGACCCCAAAGUGUCUAGAAUCAAUAUAUUUGUACAAAGUUAGCUGGUUUUGGGGAUGAUUCUCUAUCUUGCCAUUUUUACAUGAGAGCAAGUUAGCUUAAAAACGUGGAGGCAAACCAACAGAUGAUAUCAACAAUUUCCUCCUGCUGCUACAAAUAGGAUGUUAACCUAUUUUUAAAAUAGAUUUAUUUUUAAAAUUUUGUUUUCAAAAUAGAUUUAUUUUAAAAAUUUUAUUUUCAUAAUAGUUGAACAUCAUCCUAUUUAGUAGUUUAAAAUCUUAAAAUGUUUUGUUUUUUUUUUUCUAUUUUCCUACAAUGAAUAAAAAUCACACAUAAAGUUUAGCUAGAGAAAUAACUCAUCCAAUGACUACAAGAGGCCCAUGUUGCCUUUAUUCUGAAGCUACUGAUACUGGGAAUUUGUAGAGUUUUGCCUAGAACAUUCUGACUUCCCAAGCCACAUCACAGAGAUAUCAGGCAACGGAGAGCAGUGCCAUCUGUCAGUCCCUGGAGCCAUCAUCAAAUAGGAGCUAUGCAAGCCCAAGAGUUUUUGGCUGGAAUAGGGGAAGUUCACAGAAACAGAUUUUUCUUCAUUUUUGUUCUCAUGUUUUCGAACUCAGGAAUCUUCAAAGGAAAUGGAAGAAAGCAUGAAACCGUGCACAAUGAAAUGAUGAAAAAUUCUGGCCAGCACACAGAAAUCAAGUUAUCACAUGGAUGGGAAAGUUUUCUAAUAUGAGCACUAUCUUCUGUUUUGUUUCUCUCCCCAGCAUUUCCUGCUGCCUUCAGUUGACAACCCUAUUUACAUCGCUUCUGAGAAGCUCAAGCUCAAAAAGACUGUUACGGAGACUUAGAAAUUAUGCCCACUUCAAUCUGGCUUCAAUCAACAGUCUUUGGAAUUAGCUCUCAAAAGAAACUGUAAUUAUGAACAGCACCCAUUCAAGGAACAUUUAUAAGUCCUUAUCUCACUUGACUGCCUUGCACACUUAGAAACAACUGAACAAUCUUCUGGAAGCAUCUUUUUUUGUGUGUGGUAGUCAUAUACAAUUAUAACUUAGCUUUACUUCUGUGAAUUUUUAAAAUCUCUGUCUUUCCCUAUGUCCUACUAAAGUGUAAAGUCAAUGAGGGCAGAGAUCCUGUCUUCUUUUUUUUAUGAGGGCAUACUCAGGGCCUAAUACAGUGAGUGCCUGGCACAGAGUAGGUGCUCAAUAAAUACCUCUGCAUGAGUGAAUGCAAGUAUCACUUACCUUAUUACAUAAAAAUCAUUUUCCUACAUUGAUCUUACCCCCACAUGGUAAGCUUCCAGAUGGCAAGGAAAAGGAAUUAUUUUGUAUUUAGAGUGCCUAGCCCAGGGAUUCAAUUUUUGUAAGAAUAAAAGCUAAAACAUAUCAUUUUCCAUAAAUGUUUGCAUCAUUUUAAGACCC